rnacentral:lncRNA from 1 species
CUCGAAGCAAGUCGUCUUAGAUAUCACCAAUUGUAGUGAAGGUAUAUGGAGCCAUAGUAAGCGAGAUUAAUCUCAAGUCAGUUCAGUUUCAAUGUAAGUUUAAUUUUGAGAGUCGUGCUUCGAAUGUCGAAGCACACGGUCUAUCCAAGUUCUCUCCUACAUUAGGUCCAGGCGUCACGUCUGGUUUGGCCAACGCCAUGACCUAAAUUGUAUCCCACAAAUUGUGAACUUUGAUGAAUGAAGUGGCUUUUACCCCUAAAAAAAGCCUUU